rnacentral:lncRNA from 1 species
CAGGGAUGCCCGAGGCACCCGCCUGCCCAGUCCUUGACCCUGUUCCAGGAUAAGUGACCCAGCCUCUCACCACACAGCCACCAUGCAGACAGCCUAGGCUCCAGAGACAGCCGGGCCUGCAGGUCCCCUCUGCUCCCAUCCACAGCAACUGCCAAGGACAGCAGGACAGCCAGGAGCAAGGGUAGCCACACUGCCCUGUGUUCUUCCCCAAGGCAUGACACCUGCUUGGAUGUCAUCUCCCAGCUGUUCCUGUCUUGAGGGCCUGUGUCCAAGGGGAGGAAGCCCAGGCGCAUCAAGAGUCCACCGCUGCGUUAGGAUGAGGCCAGCUGUUGGAGCUUUCACAGGAAGCAGUGACAAAGCCACAGCCCUGUGUGGUAAGGCAGGGGAGAAUGCGGACAGGAGCCAAGAGACAGGCUGGCCCUGCAGCCUGGGCCAGGGGGGAGGAGGGUAGGCUUGUGUUCCCUUGGGUGCCCAGGGAUCAUCUGUGCCAGAGGUCUGGGCCUUGUGAGCUGCCCCUUCCCUGCCAGGGUGCCUCGGACCCCACAGCGUCCAGCCUGCAGGGCCACAUGGGGUCUCUUGGG